rnacentral:rRNA from 1 species
GACGAACGCUGGCGGCGUGCUUAACACAUGCAAGUCGAACGGAAAGGCCCUGCUUUUGUGGGGUGCUCGAGUGGCGAACGGGUGAGUAACACGUGAGUAACCUGCCCUCGACUUUGGGAUAACUUCAGGAAACUGGGGCUAAUACCGGAUAGGAGCUCCUGCUGCAUGGUGGGGGUUGGAAAGUUUCGGCGGUCGGGGAUGGACUCGCGGCUUAUCAGCUUGUUGGUGGGGUAGUGGCUUACCAAGGCUUUGACGGGUAGCUGGCCUGAGAGGGUGACCGGCCAAAUUGGGACUGAGAUACGGCCCAGACUCCUGAGGGAGGCAGCAGUGGGGAAUAUUGCACGAUGGGCGGAAGCCUGAUGCAGCAACGCCGCGUGCUGGAUGACGGCCUUCGGGUUGUAGACCGCUUUCGCCUGUGACGAAGCGUGAGUGACGGUAAUGGAUAAAGAAGCACCGGCUAACUACGUG